rnacentral:rRNA from 1 species
AUUGAACGCUGGCGGCAGGCCUAACACAUGCAAGUCGAGCGGAGCGGCGGACGGGAUAGUAAUGCCUAGGAAUCUGCCUGGUAGUGGGGGCUAACGUCCGGAAACGGGCGCUAAUACCGCAUCCUAUCAGAUGAGCCUAGGUCGGAUGAGCUAGUUGGUGGGGUAAAGGCCUACCAUGGCGACGAUCCGUAACCGGUCUGGGAGGAUGAUCAGUCACACUGGAACUGAGACACGGUCCAGAAUCUAACGGGAGGCAGCAGUGGGGAAUAUUGGACAAUGGGCGAAAGCCUGAUCCAGCCAUGGCGCGGGUGUGAAGAAGGUCUUCGGGUUGAAAAGGACUUUAAGUUGGGAGGCGUUACCAACAGAAUAAGCACCGGCGAACUGCGUGCCAGCAGCCGCGGUAAUAC